CACGGGGUGGGGGGGACAUGGGGACACAUUUGUGUGUGUUGGGGACACAGGACACGGAUUGGGGACACGGGACACAGGACACAGGUUGGUGACAUGUUUUGGGGACACAGAACACAGGUUGGGGACAUAGGACAGGUUGGGGACACGGGGACACAGGACAUGGGGACACACUGGGGACAUGGGACAGGUUGGGGGCGGGGACACGGGACACUGUUGGGGACAUGAGAUGCAUUGGGGACACAGGACACGUGGAUGGGGACACGGGUUGGGGACGCAUUAGGGACGUGGGACACAGGUUGGGGACACACUUGUGCAUGUUGGGGACCCAGGACACGGGGACACGACACAGGUUGGGGACAUGUUUUGGGGACACAGGACAUGGGUUGGGGACACAUUGGGGACAUGGGACACAGGUUGGGGACAGGGACACGGCGGCACAGGACACUUGGGGACAUGAGAUGUGUUGGGGACAUGUGUUGGGGACACGACAUGGGGAUGGGGACAUGGGUUGGGGACACAGGACACGAGUUGGGGAUGCAUUGGGGACAUGGGACACAGGUUAGGGCAGGGACACGCGUUGGGGACACAAGACACUGUUGGGGACAUGAGAUGUGCUGGGGACACAGGACACGUGUUGGGGACGGGGACAUUGGGGACACAUGUUGGGGACAGUUGUGCAUUGGGGACACAGGACAUGGGGACACAGGUUGGGGACAGGGACACGGCACAGGACACUUGGGGACAUGAGAUAUGUUGGGGACACGUGUUGGGGAGAGGGUUGUACAUUGGUGACACGGGGACACGUGUCCAGGACACGGGUGCAUGUUGGGGACGGGGACACGUGCGCAAGACACGGUUGUGCAUUGACACAGGUCGGGGACACGUGUGGGGGACACGGGACACGCGCCAGGGCACGGCGUGUUUAUUGCCACACGUGUCACCCCCCCCACCACAGCCGCGUGCGCCAACAUGCCACCCCGCGGUCACGCCGAGGCCGCGUCACGCGUGUGCGGCGUCACGCCAACGCCGUGUUCGAUGUCACGCCGGUUGCGUGUGAYGUCACGACGAUGCCAUGUUUGACRUCAUGCCAAUACCAUGUUCGGUGUCACACCAGUUGCGCGUGAUGUCACGCCAAUGGCGUGUUCGAUGUCACGCUGGUUGCAUGUGACGUCACGACGAUUCCAUGGGUGACGUCACGCCAAUGCCAUGUUUGACGUCACGCCAGUUCCAUGUUUGGCGUCACACCAAUGCCAUGUUUGAUGUCACGCCGGUUCCGUGUGAUGUCACACUGAUGCCGUGUUUGGCGUCACGCCAAUGCCGUGUUUGAUGUCACACUGCUUCCGUGUGAUGUCAUGACAAUUCCGUGUGCGGCGUCACGCCAAUGCCAUGUUUGAUGUCAUGCCAGUUCCAUGUUCGGCGUCGCGCCAACGCCAUGUUCGACGUCACGCUGGUCGCAUAUGAUGUCAUGCCGGUUUCGGGUUCAGUGUCACGCCGGUUGCGUGUGAUGUCACGACGAUUCCGUGUGCAGCGUCACACCAAUGCCAUGUUCAACGUCACGCCAGUUCCAUGUUUGGUGUCACGCCAAUGCCGUGUUCGAUGUCACACCGGUUGCGUGUGACGUCACGCUGGUUGCAUGUGACAUCACGACGAUGCCGUGUGUGAUGUCAUGCCAAUGCCGUGUUUGAUGUCACGCUAGUUCCGUGUUCGCGUCACACCAGUUCUGUGUGAUGUCAUGACAAUUCCGUGUCCAGCGUCACGCCGGUUCCAUGUGGCGUCACGACGAUUCCGUGUGCAGCGCCACGCCAAUGCCAUGUUUGACGUCACGCCAGUCCCAUGUUCGGCGUCACGCCGGUGGCG
rnacentral:lncRNA from 1 species